CUAUAAAGUAGGGUAAGCAGAUUUUAAUAGGUUUUACCUUAGCCUUAUCAGUGAACUGUAUUUCCACAAAUUCUCUCCAUUGAUCUUCUGGAAUUAGUCCUCGUCUUGCUUCAAAUGCUUUCUCUAUAGUAUUUCUUCUAUACUUCAUCCAAAUAUGUUGCUUUAAGUCUUUACAUCUACCUCCUAAUGCAGAUAAAACAUAUUUCCUCCUCCUCCUUGAUUUUUUUUUUUCUGUUUUUAUUUAAAACUAGAUUUUAAUCCGCGGUACACCGCGGAGACAAUUCAUUUUUUAAAAUUAAUAUAUAUAAAAAUUUGUAAAUUAUUUUAUAGUUUACCAUUGUUACUAAGUAACGUCCUGCCAAACCCGUCCUGCCAAACCUGUCCACAAAAAAAACUAAUUAUUUUAUUAAUAUUGAUCUUAUUUAUAAUAUGUUUAUGAAUCAUUGUCAAAAUCUUUUAGUCGAUGCGGGACGUUGAACCCACACAUUUUCGCCAAUUGGUUAAUAUAUGUUCAUUCUUAAAAUUUCGAAUCACAAAAUAUGACGAAAGUUUUUUUGAGAUUUUUUUAAACUCUAUAUAUUAUAUAAUGAUGUUAAUUAUUUUUGAUAGAUUAAACUUUUUAU
rnacentral:sRNA from 1 species